rnacentral:rRNA from 1 species
GACGAACGCUGGCGGCGUGCCUAAUACAUGCAAGUCGAACGCAUUUUCUUUCACCGUAGCUUGCUACACCGAAAGAAAAUGAGUGGCGAACGGGUGAGUAACACGUGGGUAACCUGCCCAUCAGCGGGGGAUAACACUUGGAAACAGGUGCUAAUACCGCAUAAUUCCAUUUACCGCAUGGUAAAUGGAUGAAAGGCGCUUUUGCGUCACUGAUGGAUGGACCCGCGGUGCAUUAGCUAGUUGGUGGGGUAACGGCCUACCAAGGCUGCGAUGCAUAGCCGACCUGAGAGGGUGAUCGGCCACACUGGGACGGAGACACGGCCCAGACUCCUACGGGAGGCAGCAGUAGGGAAUCUUCGGCAAUGGACGCAAGUCUGACCGAGCAACGCCGCGUGAGUGAAGAAGGUUUUCGGAUCGUAAAACUCUGUUGUUAGAGAAGAACAAGGAUGAGAGUGGAAAGUUCAUCCCUUGACGGUAUCUAACCAGAAAGCCACGGCUAACUACGUG